rnacentral:rRNA from 1 species
CUUGCACCUCUUGGUUAGCGGCGGACGGGUGAGUAACACGUGGGCAACCUGCCUGUAAGACUGGGAUAACACCGGGAAACCGGUGCUAAUACCGGAUAAUCCUUUCCCUCUCAUGAGGGAAAGCUGAAAGUCGGUUUACGCUGACACUUACAGAUGGGCCCGCGGCGCAUUAGCUAGUUGGUGAGGUAACGGCUCACCAAGGCGACGAUGCGUAGCCGACCUGAGAGGGUGAUCGGCCACACUGGGACUGAGACACGGCCCAGACUCCUACGGGAGGCAGCAGUAGGGAAUCUUCCGCAAUGGACGAAAGUCUGACGGAGCAACGCCGCGUGAGCGAUGAAGGCCUUCGGGUCGUAAAGCUCUGUUGUUAGGGAAGAACAAGUACCGGAGUAACUGCCGGUACCUUGACGGUACCUAACCAGAAAGCCACGGCUAACUACGUGCCAGCAGCCGCGGUAAUACGUAGGUGGCAAGCGUUGUCCGGAAUUAUUGGGCGUAAAGCGCGCGCAGGCGGUCCUUUAAGUCUGAUGUGAAAGCCCACGGCUCAACCGUGGAGGGUCAUUGGAAACUGGGGGACUUGAGUACAG